GGUCAGAGAUACUGCAUAAGCAAGGCAUUUCCUCCCAUCUGUGCCCCAGGACAGUUUACUAGGUGAAAAUGUUCAUAGUUGAGAUGCGACCAUGAGCCAGAGCACCAGCACUCCACUUAUCUCCAGUGAGGGGGUCUUGACUGCCAGUUGGCUGAUUGCAGAAUAUUUCCCAGCUUUGCUUAUGGAUCCUGUGAAGAUGUGGGUUCAUUUUUAUCCUUUACUACUGUGGUGAAGUGUGAAUGUGAUGAGGAUUUGUUCUGGUUGGAGAGGCUAAAAUCACCUGCAGAAAUUCACACUGUCUCCAGCUCCUAAAUGUAAAGGCAACUCCAACUUUACUGACGGCCCUUGCUCUGUGUCUGAAACCAAAGAUAGAAAAUGGGAAUCUGUCUGGGAAUAAAGACAAGUAUGUUGAUCCUGAAAAUGCCGCUGUCCAGUGUGACUCUGGAUAUCGUGUGGUUGGCUCUCCAAGUAUCAUCUGCUCAGAGAAUGGAACCUGGUACCCAGGGGUGCCCACAUGUGAGUGGGACACCCAUAAGGGCUGUGAGCAGGUGCUAGCGGGCAGAAAACUCAGGCAGCGUCUCCCAAGCCCGGAGGCCAUGAAACUGGCCCUGGAGUUGUACAAGCUGGCUCUGGAGAUUGGACAACUGGGCAAGAGAGAGACUUGAGGAGGACUGCCAGUUAGGAAUCAGCACAUCUAAUUCCCCUGAACCCCCCAAGAUGGAGAAUUAGGUACAGUUCUCUCAUUAAGAACUGUACUGUUCCUUAAGUAGUUAUUUGCUGAAAGCAGUGUCUGUGUUGGGCAUGUCGGUUCAUAUUCUUAGUGCCACAGAGAAUGUGAAACUUUUGAUUUAUAUCUUAACUCAGCUUAAGCGUCUGUGUUCCUGAAUUUGGUGGAACAGCAGAAAUAAAUAAUCACUUGUC